AGUGAACGCUGGCGGUAGGCCUAACACAUGCAAGUCGAACGGCAGCACAGUAAGAGCUUGCUCUUACGGGUGGCGAGUGGCGGACGGGUGAGGAAUACAUCGGAAUCUACUUUUUCGUGGGGGAUAACGUAGGGAAACUUAUGCUAAUACCGCAUACGACCUACGGGUGAAAGCAGGGGAUCUUCGGACCUUGCGCGAUUGAAUGAGCCGAUGUCGGAUUAGCUAGUUGGCGGGGUAAAGGCCCACCAAGGCGACGAUGCGUAGCUGGUCUGAGAGGAUGAUCAGCCACACUGGAACUGAGACACGGUCCAGACUCCUACGGGAGGCAGCAGUGGGGAAUAUUGGACAAUGGGCGCAAGCCUGAUCCAGCCAUACCGCGUGAGUGAAGAAGGCCUUCGGGUUGUAAAGCCCUUUUGUUGGGAAAGAAAAGCAGCAGGUUAAUACCCCGCUGUUCUGACGGUACCCAAAGAAUAAGCACCGGCUAACUUCGUG
rnacentral:rRNA from 1 species